rfam:Ruminococcus torques L2-14 draft genome.
ACGUUUGAUAGAGGCGCGGUGAUAUGAGUACCCGCUGACGAGAGUCUUGGGAAGACUGUCAGUGAGAGAAAGGAGAAGCCGCCGAAGGAAUGAUAUUCCCAGAUAUGAUUCCUGGGCCGGAUGUAGAAGAUACGCCGGACUGUCACAGGUGUGGAGAGCUAUCGAUGAC